rnacentral:tRNA from 1 species
UUCCCACUGGCUUAAUGGUAUAGGAGCCAGCUUGCCUUAUAACUGGAAGGUCGUGGGUUCAAACCCCGUGUGGUAAG